CCCUACGGGGGGCAGCAGGGAAUUUUCGUCAAUGGGCGCAAGCCUGAACGAGCAAUGCCGCGUGAACGAGGAAGGUCUUCGGAUCGUAAAGUUCUGUUGAAGGGGAAAAAGAGCGGAGAGAGGAAAUGGUCUCCGAUUGAUAUUACCCUUCGAGGAGGUCACGGCUAACUACGUGCCAGCAGCCGCGGUAAUACGUAGGUGGCGAGCGUUAUCCGGAAUGAUUGGGCGUAAAGGGUGCGUAGGCGGCCUGCUAAGUCUGGAGUGAAAGGUACCGGCUCAACCGGUACAGGCUCUGGAAACUGGCG
rnacentral:rRNA from 1 species